GAGUGCUUCCCAACACACCUUUUCUCCUCAAAUGUCGUGGUGUUGGCUCACACUGGCUUCCUUGUUAAGGGAGGGAGUGUAAAGAAGCAGACCGGCUGAUCAGACAGGUUUCAGAUGAAGCCUGUGGCGAUCUACGACUCUCCUGACUUCGGACUACUGUAGCGGUGGCACAUGGUCAUACAGUGGAGAUGGGAGAAAAAGGGGAUCAGUUUGUUUUGCUUGCUGCUCAUACAUCAACAAAGUAGGUGCUUCUGUUGAAGAUGUCAAAAGGAUAUAUGCCACUGGUGAAGGGACCCCUCACCAUAUAUAUCUCCAAAGAAUGUGUUGCUGGACCUUUAGUAACUGCUCCACCUGAUUCAUGCUUAGUCAGUUAUUUUAAUAACGUGAUAGUGUUGGACUGGAACAUAAUUGAAAUGCCUUGACUGUAUAUGCGGAAUGUCUAUGCAUAAUGCUAUUCUUGGUAACAGAUUUGCUAUGUCUUAUAAGUCCCAUAUGAUAAAAAUCUGAUUUAGGAUAAGGUCCAUUUUGUUGAGGCAAUUAUAUUGACUGUAUUGUUUUUCCCAGUUUCAUAUUAUUUGUUGGAAAGCCCUUCAAGCAGUCUCCUGUUCUCAGUGGACUUGCAGUCAGGCUGAAAUAUCCUGCUACUACACUGACUAUAUUUGCCUCAAAGGAACUGUAAAUGUUAUGUUCCAGUGCACUAACCAGUAAGAGUGGAUAGCUACUAUUCCCAUGCUGACGCUCACUGCUUUUGUUUUUGUGCCAUACAUCUCCUCCACAUGCAUACUUUUUACAGUCAUUCAACAUGCUUUGUCAGAAAGAGAAGAGAAAUAGCAUAGGAGUAGUAGCUUUCUACUCUUAAUGAUUGGUAACUGGAACGUAACAUUCUCAAGUUCCCUGAGGCUAAUAUACUCCUUUAACUAAAAUGUUUACAAUAAUUUGGCAUUUUUUGUAACAAAAUGAAAAAGAAACAAUUCAAUACAAUGAUUUUCAUCUCCCACAGAGGGCUCUCUCUAAUUCAUUCCUGUAGGAGGUAAUCAUACUAUUUGUCACAGCUUUUGUAUUUGCCCAGAUUAACAAAAAUAAUCAGCUAUAAUUAUACAUUUAAUUGCAAGCAUAUACAAUGAUUAUUAAGAAACCAUGCAGAAACCAUUUC